rnacentral:misc_RNA from 1 species
GAUGAAGAACGUAUUGAAAUGCGAUAAGUAAUGCGAAUUGCAGAAUUCCGUGAGUCAUCGAAUCUUUGAACGCACAUUGCGCCCUUUGGCAUUCCGAAGGGCAUGCCUGUUCGAGCGUCAUUUAUCAACCCUCAAGCCCGGCUUGCGGUUGGGUCCCGCCGUGGGCGACCACGGCGGACCCGAAAGGUAAUGGCGGUGCCCGUGGGGCCCUGGACGCAGCGAGCUUCUCGGCACGCGUCCCGGCGGUCCCCGGCGCCGUCUCCACCAAUCCACCACGCAGAUUGACCUCGGAUCAGGUAGGGAUACCCGCUGAACUUAAGCAUAUCAAUAAGCGGAGGA